AUUGAACGCUGGCGGCAUGCUUUACACAUGCAAGUCGAACGGUAACAGGCCUUCGGGUGCUGACGAGUGGCGAACGGGUGAGUAAUGCAUCGGAACGUACCCAGAGGUGGGGGAUAACGCAGCGAAAGCUGUGCUAAUACCGCAUGUGAUCUGAGGAUGAAAGCGGGGGACCGAGCAGCAAUGUUUGGCCUCGCGCCUUUGGAGCGGCCGAUGUCGGAUUAGCUAGUUGGUGGGGUAAAGGCCUACCAAGGCGACGAUCCGUAGCUGGUCUGAGAGGACGACCAGCCACACUGGGACUGAGACACGGCCCAGACUCCUACGGGAGGCAGCAGUGGGGAAUUUUGGACAAUGGGCGCAAUCCUGAUCCAGCAAUGCCGCGUGCGGGAAGAAGGCCUUCGGGUUGUAAACCGCUUUUGGCAGGAACGAAACGGUGUCCGCUAAUACCGGGCGCUAAUGACGGUACCUGCAGAAUAAGCACCGGCUAACUACGUG
rnacentral:rRNA from 1 species